UAUAAAUACAAAGCUCAUUCAAACAGAACCCUUCCAUUUCCUUCUCCACUUCAUUCAUUCCAAAAGCUUCCGUACUCGUUUUCCUUCAAAUCAAACAGCCUUUCUUCUCAGUUCUCUUCUACUGCAAAACCAGAUGGCAGAGUCACAGAAGGGAACUUCAUCUAUCAAAUCAAAAGAGAAAACGUCACUGCUAGAUGAUGAAAUUGGAAAUGAGUUCCUCAGUUCCUGGAAAUCAAUGUCGGUUACAGAAGAUGAUGCUAUGGAUUUUAACUUUGACACAGUACCCAAAGGCAAAAAGAAGGCAUUCAACUUUGAGAAAAUGGAUAUGGAUUUCAAUCUAGAUGGUGAUUUUGACAAGUUGUCAUCAUUCAAAGUAGACAUGUCAGACCUUGAUUUCUCAUGUUCACCGAAAAAAACUGCAAAGCCCAAGGGAAGUACAGGAGAAGAACGUUCCAGUGGAAAUAAUAAAGGGAAAAAAGAUGGCUUUAAUUUCUCUUUUGAUUUUAGUGAUUUGGAUGGUUUCAAUUUAGAUUCAAGCUUAAUGAAAGAAGAUAAGAAAUCUAACAAGGCCUCAGAAAGCAAAGGAAUUGCUUCAGAGAGAAGUCAGUGUCAAGGUUCUAAAUUAAACCUGACUGAAGGUAAUGGUAGCUGUGAUGAGUCAAGCUUAAUGAAUGAAGAUAAGAAUUCUUACAAAACCUCAGAUAGCAAAGGAGUUGCUUUAGACCUGACUGAAGGUAAUGGUAGGUAUGAUGAUAGCUCUAGCAUGAAAGUUCCAGCAACCAAAAGUGCAGUCACUUCAAAGGUUGAGACUUUAAUUGGUGGUCAAGGGGAAUUUAAUUCCUUCAAUGAUGAUUCUGCUUCAAAAUCUGAAACCUUUGAAAAUUUGGUUCUGACACAUGGGGGAAGAACUUCUCCAGGGAAAACAAUAAUGAUGAGUGCAGAAGAAACUGAUCAACAAAUUUGCUCAUCUCAGAAGUCAAUGUUCACAGAACCAUCUUCUCAGCUGGUCAAAGAUGAUAUACCUGUCAAACCUGUACAUGACAAUGAAUCAAAUCAACACACUCUUUUGGAUUUUUCAAAAGUACAGACACAAAUUUCUUCAUUGGGCACAAAAGAAAAAACUGCUUCAGGUGGAGAGCAAACUGAUGCUGACAAAAUGAUUUUUAGUAUGGGAUCUCAUCAUGAAGAUUCAGCAUGCAAGAAUUCACCUCCAAUGCACAUCACUGCAUCAGACAACAAUGAUGCUGAAAGGAAUAAGACUGGUGGCAAUGAACCAAUCAGAUUUAUGGAUGACAUGGAACCAGCUGAAUCAGCUGAACAAGAUUUAGAUAUGGAAGACAACACCGUCACAAAUAUCUCAAGGCAAAUGCCAUAUGACACCAAGGGGGUCAAAAAGAACGAGAGUUCAACUUCCAAUCUUUCUUUGGCUCCAUUGGACAGGGUAGUUGAUACGAGGACACUGGUGAAAGGAAAAGAAGAUGGAGACAUCCACUCUAUUUCUUGUAAGAGGCCAGAGGAAACUGGACCUAAAGAUCAUCAGCCAUCUGGGACAAAGUUUCCCUCAAUUGGCAGCAAAAGAGUUGGGGCCAUGCAUCUAUCUCCUUCCAGUGAAAAAGUGGAGGGCUUGAAUGCUAAUGAUGCACAGACUGGAAGCAAAUUGGUUCAUACUACAAUUUCAGUUGCUAGAGAAUUAACAAAAGACCGACCUCUUUUGUUGGGAAGUGAAAAUAAUGUUAAAAAUCUUAGUAAAAUCAGGGAGGGCAUAAAUUCUGAUAAUGUAACAAUUGGGAGCAAGCUGAUUGAGAAUUUACGGCCACAAGACAAAGAAGUAAAAAAAGGUGAAUUUGUUUUGCUAGGAAGUGAAAAGAGCGUUAAAGACCAUCAUUCUUUGAGCCUAACUGGUAAGACAACUGAAUGUGGUGCCCGGACAAGCGUGAAUUCUAAACUUGUGCUUUCGAGCAUGGAGUCAAUGCGGCACUUGAAGAACGUUUCGGCUGAAAGGAAUAAACUUUGCUCCAUAAAAGCUGGCAAGAGGACACCUGAUCUCUCUAGCAUUAAAACUUCAAGGAUUACAGAGGCAAACAAAGUUCUAUCAAGUUCUAUAAGUCGGAGAGAAAUUAACUCCUUGGAAAAGUCAGAGAAAAAAAGGAAAGUACAGGGAAAUAUAGCAUUGAAGAUUGAGCGUUGUGUUGACAGUACUGAGAAACAAAUGUCUCAGAGUCCAUCCUUGAAAAGGAAAACAUUUGAGGCAUCAAAUGCAGAUUCAGCGUACUUAAAGCCUCUAAAACGCCUCUCUGCAUCACCUAGUGAAAGCAGCAAUUCAAAAUUACCUUUGGAAAGUGUCCUUGAAGAACAGGUUUGCAUUCAUGGGAUUCAGGCAGAGAGUAGUGCCAAGCAUGUCUUUACUGACCACCGGACCUCUGGACUUGAAUGUGCUCGAGAGGUGAGCAUGAUGGACUUGGAAAUUCCUUUAGUUAUGGAGAAUGAUGGAAAUGUUGAGAAGGCUGAGGCAUAUACGAAGGAUCUUGAUGAUAUUUGCAACAUGCUGAGAAAGAAGCAUGAGGAAGCCAAAGAAAUAUUAGUUCGAGCUAUUGUCAACAAUAACAAUUUGCUGAUGCUUAACCAUCCCAUCUAUGACGAGAAGAUAUCCUUACUUUCUCUGAUGUUAAGUUCUUUUUUUCUUUGUUCGGUUUUUAUUGUGUUGGAAAUUCCUUCAUAAUUGAGAACAUCCGUAAGAUUCAGAGUUUCGCUUCCCAACUGAUGUCCAAGGAGCUUCAAGCAUGAUCAGUGGGUGGCAGCAACAGUUUUCAUAUUAAGGGAGAGGCUAGAUGUUCUCUUUCAUCAUGGCUAAGUGGUGACGGCUCGGUUAGACACUCACGUGUGAUGCUUCAUAGGUUGAAUUGGAUUUAUCAUUUGAACUGCCUACUUGCAAAUAUUCUCAAGCUGAUUUCUUGUCAGCUCAUGCAUGAGCAAUACCAUUUCUGAUAAAUAAAUAAGGCUAAUUGUUAGUACACACAUUGUUGCACACACUGUACACAUUAUUUUUUGAACUGAAAUUGCGUUUUGAAGUCAAGAUUUGAGUUUUAAAAAUUUUGAACUGAAAUCGUAACUUCAGAACAUGUUUUCAGUUCAAAAACUGAAUUGUGUGUAUUUUGUGUGUAAUAGAGCAUGAUACUGCCCAAUAGAUAAUAACCAUGAUUUGAAUGCUUACAAGGUACCUAUUCUCUCUCUCUC